GAUGAACGCUAGCGGCAGGCUUAACACAUGCAAGUCGAGGGGUAACGAUGGUGCUUGCACCAGUCGACGACCGGCGAACGGGUGCGUAACGCGUAUAGAAUCUGCCUUGUACAGGAGGAUAGCCUUUAGAAAUGAAGAUUAAUACUCCAUAAUGUUAUUUGGUGGCAUCAUUAAAUAAUUAAAGAUUUAUCGGUACAAGAUGACUAUGCGUCCUAUUAGUUAGUUGGUAAGGUAACGGCUUACCAAGGCAGCGAUAGGUAGGGGGUCUGAGAGGAUUAUCCCCCACACUGGUACUGAGACACGGACCAGACUCCUACGGGAGGCAGCAGUGAGGAAUAUUGGACAAUGGGCGCAAGCCUGAUCCAGCCAUGCCGCGUGCAGGAAGACUGCCCUAUGGGUUGUAAACUGCUUUUAUACAGGAAGAAACUGUAGUACGUGUACUACACUGACGGUACUGUAAGAAUAAGCACCGGCUAACUCCGUGCCAGCAGCCGCGGUAAUACGGAGGGUGCAAGCGUUAUCCGGAAUCAUUGGGUUUAAAGGGUCCGCAGGCGGUCGAUUAAGUCAGAGGUGAAAUCCCAUAGCUUAACUAUGGAACUGCCUUUGAUACUGGUUGACUUGAGUCAUAUGGAAGUAGAUAGAAUAAGUAGUGUAGCGGUGAAAUGCAUAGAUAUUACUUAGAAUACCGAUUGCGAAGGCAGUCUACUACGUAUGUACUGACGCUCAUGGACGAAAGCGUGGGGAGCGAACAGG
rnacentral:rRNA from 1 species